rnacentral:rRNA from 1 species
AACGAACGCUGGCGGCAGGCUUAAUACAUGCAAGUCGAGGGGUAACAUGGGUAGCAAUACCUGAUGACGACCGGCAAACGGGUGCGGAACACGUACGCAACCUUCCCAUAACUGGUGAAUAGCCUUUCGAAAGAGAGAUUGAUACACCGUAACAUAACGAAGAGGCAUCUCUUUGUUAUUAUAGAAGCAAUUCGGUUUUGGAUGGGCGUGCGCCUGAUUAGGUAGUUGGCGGGGUAACGGCCCACCAAGCCUACGAUCAGUAACUGGUGUGAGAGCACGACCAGUCACACGGGCACUGAGACACGGGCCCGACUCCUACGGGAGGCAGCAGUAAGGAAUAUUGGUCAAUGGACGAAAGUCUGAACCAGCCAUGCCGCGUGAAGGAUUAAGGCCCUCUGGGUUGUAAACUUCUUUUAUAUGGGACGAAAAAAGGGCUUUCUAGCUCACUUGACGGUACCAUAGGAAUAAGCACCGGCUAACUCCGUGCCAGCAGCCGCAGUAAUAC